ensembl:rRNA 5S_rRNA 5S ribosomal RNA
GUCUACGGCCAUACCACCCUGAAUGCACCUGAGCUGGUCUGGAAGUUUCCCAGGGGAUAGCGAGCCGCUUCUUGAGAACUACAGCUGUAGACA